rnacentral:rRNA from 1 species
GGAUUGCCUUAGUAACGGCGAGUGAAGCGGCAAAAGCUCAAAUUUGAAAUCUGCCUACAGGCCGAAUUGUAAUUUGUAGAGGAACGUUCGGUGACGCCUAAAUCCAAGUCUUCUGGAAGGAAGCGCCAAUGAGGGUGAGAGCCCCGUCGGAUGAUUGGCUGAGCCAUGUGUACGUCCUUCGAAGAGUCGAGUUGUUUGGGAAUGCAGCUCUAAACGGGUGGUAAAUUCCAUCUAAAGCUAAAUAUUGGCCAGAGACCGAUAGCGCACAAGUAGAGUGAUCGAAAGAUGAAAAGCACUUUGGAAAGAGAGUGAAACAGUACGUGAAAUUGUUGAAAGGGAAGCGCUCGCAACCAGACUUGUUCUUUGGGUUCAGCACUUUAUCAAAGUGUGUAUUUCCCAGUUGACAGGCCAACAUCGGUUUCCUGAGUCGGAAAAAAUCAUUGGGAACGUAGCUCUUUCGGGAGUGUUAUAGCCCUUUGAAGAAUACGGCUACAAGAGACCGAGGACAGCCUUUUGAAGGAUGUUGGCGUAAUGGUUGUCAGCGGCCCGUCUUGAAACACGGACCAAGGAGUCUAACAUCUGUGCGAGUGUUUGGGUGUUAAACCCGCUCGCGAAAUGAAAGUGAACGGAGGUGAGAGCUUUUUGCGCAUCAUCGACCGAUCCUGAUGUCCUCGGAUGGAUUUGAGUAAGAGCACAGCUGUUGGGACCCGAAAGAUGGUGAACUAUGCGUGAAUAGGGCGAAGCCAGAGGAAACUCUGGUGGAGGCUCGCAGCGGUUCUGACGUGCAAAUCGAUCGUCAAAUUUGCGUAUAGGGGCGAAAGACUUAUCGAACCAUCUAGUAGCUGGUUCCUGCCGA